ACUCCUACGGGAGGCAGCAGUAACGAAUCUUCCGCAAUGCGCGAAAGCGUGACGGAGCAAUGCCGCGUACAGGAUGAAGCCCCUCGGGGUGUAAACUGCUGUCAGGGUUCAGUAAGAAAGUGAACAAACCCAUAGGAAGGGCCGGCUAACUUCGUGCCAGCAGCCGCGGUAAC
rnacentral:rRNA from 1 species